CGUAGCUCAGCUGGAUAGAGCAACGGCCUUCUAAGCCGUGGGUCGGGGGUUCGAAUCCCUCCGG
rnacentral:tRNA from 1 species